GACGAACCGUGCGAACGUUGUUCGGAAUCACUGGGCUUAAAGGGCGCGUAGGCGGGCGGGCAAGUCAGAGGUGAAAGCCCACGGCUCAACCGUGGAAGUGCCCCUGAUACUGCUCGUCUGGAGGGGGAUAGGGGCGUGCGGAACUUCCGGUGGAGCGGUGAAAUGCGUAGAUAUCGGAAGGAACACCGGUGGCGAAGGCGGUUCUCUGGGCCUGACCUGACGCUGAGGAGCGAAAGCGUGGGGAGCGAACAGG
rnacentral:rRNA from 1 species